rnacentral:rRNA from 1 species
UACGUAGGGGGCAAGCGUUGUCCGGAAUCAUUGGGCGUAAAGAGCGUGUAGGCGGCCAGAAAAGUCCGCUGUGAAAACUCGAGGCUCAACUUCGAGCUGUCGGUGGAAACUUUCUGGCUAGAGUACGGAAGAGGCGAGUGGAAUUCCCGGUGUAGCGGUGAAAUGCGCAGAUAUCGGGAGGAACACCAAUUGCGAAGGCAGCUCGCUGGGACGUCACUGACGCUGAGACGCGAAAGCGUGGGGAGCAAACAGG